CCAUGCUCUGCUCCACGUCUGCGGCAUGUGCCAAAUAAUUUUGUUAGAUAACUUUUACAGAAUAUAAUAGUAACAAGUUUACUGUUAACUGGGCGUAACAGAUAGUGAACUUUGCAUAGUCAUCUGAGCAAUCCGUAUCACUGUAGUGUAGCGAGCUUUUUUUUUUUUUUUCUCCAGAGGCAUCUGCCUCCGCAGGUGUUUUGCCGUGGCUUGAAAGCGAGGAGGGAGGAUAAGUGCUGAGUGAGCACAGACAACAGCUACUCUGUCUUUCUCAAACAUCUUCAAGGUCCCUGCGGAGGGAUAAAGGGCCAACAGGAGGUGCUUUCCCAGGAGAGACUCAUCUGGUGCUUUACGGGGCUCCCGUGUGCAGUUGACAGGGCGGCCGGGCUCUUUGCACUCGCUGUUCCUUUUUCCUAUGCAUAUACCUCUUUGAGAUAUAACUUUAAAGAGGCAUAGGGCAUGGGAAAAUGGGGCUGCAGGGGUAUUCCACCGGGCAGACAGCCAUUUCAUCACCCUCUCCGCAUGACAGCUGACCUCAAAGCACGCACGCACGCACCCCAGGCUCCAGCCUGCCACUCACUUAUAGGGGAAGACUGCAAAGCGUAGACCCUGACACACUGGCCGCAGGGGAUGUUUAUAUCUCUGUGAUUCAUUUUUAUGUAAUAUCGCAACUCAAAUUUCAUCAUAUUUAUUCAUGAUGGGAUUGUGUAAGUGUGAAGUGAGACAAUAUUACAUUUUUACUACUUUAUUGUUCAUUUUAAACAUCUGUUUGAGUCUGACUAUUUUCUUUGUUCUUGUUUUUGAAUAAAGACUUCUUGGCAUUAAA